rnacentral:rRNA from 1 species
CAGCCGCCGCGGGAAUACGAAGGGUGCAAGCGUUAAUCGGAAUUACUGGGCGUAAAGCGCGCGUAGGCGGUUUGUUAAGUCUGUUGUGAAAUCCCCGGGCUCAACCUGGGAAUGGCAAUGGAUACUGGCAAGCUAGAGUGUGUCAGAGGAUGGUGGAAUUCCCGGUGUAGCGGUGAAAUGCGUAGAGAUCGGGAGGAACAUCAGUGGCGAAGGCGGCCAUCUGGGACAACACUGACGCUGAGGCACGAAAGCGUGGGGAGCAAACAGGAUUAGAUACCCCAGUAGUCCCUGUCUCUUAUAC